rnacentral:rRNA from 1 species
UACGUAGGGACCAAGCGUUGUUCGGAUUUACUGGGCGUAAAGGGCGCGUAGGCGGCAAUUCAAGUCAUCUGUGAAAUCUCCGGGCUUAACCCGGAACGGUCAGAUGAUACUGCUUUGCUAGAGUGCGGAAGGGGCAAUCGGAAUUCCCGGUGUAGCGGUGAAAUGCGUAGAUAUCGAGAGGAACACCUGAGGUGAAGACGGGUUGCUGGGCCGACACUGACGCUGACAGCGCGAAAGCCAGGGGAGCAAACGGG